rnacentral:lncRNA from 1 species
UGGAAAAAGAUUCCCCGCUGUCAGAUUAUCACGCUGUUACACGCAGUAAUUGAUUUCUGCCGUUCGAUCAAAAAUCAACGGAUAUGAUCAAUAUUACUGAAAAGACACAGUUUUAAUAUAAACCGUUCGAUCUGACAUUGACGGCUGAGAUCAAACACAGUGUGAAACUGUGUGAUUUUUCUACAGCAGCAAAUCUUAAUCCG